rnacentral:misc_RNA from 1 species
CGGAAACAGAGGCAAAAGCUGUGGUUCAGAGUCUCUCGGUGUUCUUCUUGGUGAAGGAUGCAAAUAAAACUUCUUCUCAGCAAUAGCUUUAUCUUCUUCAGAUAGAUUCGUUAAUGGUGAUGAUUUAUUAAAUGGGUCUUCAUUCAAUGGCGUAACAGGGCUUAAAGCAAGUGAAGGAAAAUCUAGAAUACUGGGUGAGAGAAUCUCCGGUUUGUUCCGAGGAGAAAAACUCGAAUUCUGAGGAUGAAUUCCAGGAAUCAAAGGGCUAAUCAUAAACCCAUUUUUCAAACUGUUUCUCCUCUCGUAAAGCUUGAACCCAGGUUUCUUCGGUGCUGUUCGAAUUGGG